rnacentral:rRNA from 1 species
GGCCAGACUCCUACGGGAGGCAGCAGUGGGGAAUAUUGCACAAUGGGGGAAACCCUGAUGCAGCGACGCCGCGUGAGUGAAGAAGUAUUUCGGUAUGUAAAGCUCUAUCAGCAGGGAAGAAAAUGACGGUACCUGACUAAGAAGCCCCGGCUAACUACGUGCCAGCAGCCGCGGUAAUACGUAGGGGGCAAGCGUUAUCCGGAUUUACUGGGUGUAAAGAGAGCGUAGACGGCAUGGCAAGUCAGAUGUGAAAGCCCGGGGCUCAACCCCGGGACUGCAUUUGAAACUGUCAGGCUGGAGUGCAGGAGAGGUAAAUGGAAUUCCUAGUGUAGCGGUGAAAUGCGUAGAUAUUAGGAGGAACACCAGUGGCGAAGGCGGCUUACUGGACUGUAACUGACGUUGAGGCUCGAAAGCGUGGGGAGCAAACAGGAUUAGAUACCCCUGUAC